GUACGGGAGGCAGCAGUGAGGAAUAUUGGUCAAUGGGCGCAAGCCUGAACCAGCCAUCCCGCGUGCAGGAAGAAGGCGCUAUGCGUCGUAAACUGCUUUUCCAGGGGAAGAAAACCUGAUACGUGUAUCGGCUUGCCGGUACCCUGGGAAUAAGCAUCGGCUAACUCCGUGCCAGCAGCCGCGGUAAUACGGAGGAUGCGAGCGUUAUCCGGAUUUAUUGGGUUUAAAGGGUGCGUAGGCGGAUUAAUAAGUCAGUGGUGAAAACCUUCAGCUUAACUGGAGACUUGCCAUUGAUACUGUUAGUCUUGAGUACGGUCAAGGUAGGCGGAAUGUGUAAUGUAGCGGUGAAAUGCUUAGAUAUUACACAGAACACCGAUUGCGAAGGCAGCUUACUGGGCCAUUACUGACGCUGAUGCACGAAAGCGUGGGGAGCGAACAGGAUUAGAUACCCCUGUAGUCC
rnacentral:rRNA from 1 species